CAAAGUAGAGCUUGAUAGUUAAGCAUUUCAUUUACAUUGAGAGGAUGUCGUGCGAUUCGAUUAUUUUGA
rnacentral:tRNA from 1 species